rnacentral:rRNA from 1 species
UGGCGGACGGGUGAGUAACGCGUGAGUAACCUGCCGUUCAGAGGGGGACAACAGUUGGAAACGACUGCUAAUACCGCAUAACGUAUUUUUUAGGACAUCCUAUAGAUACCAAAGGAGCAAUCCGCUGUAAGAUGGGCUCGCGUCCGAUUAGGUAAGUUGGUGAGGUAACGGCUCACCAAGCCUACGAUCGGUAGCCGGACUGAGAGGUCGAACGGCCACAUUGGAACUGAGAAACGGUCCAGACUCCUACGGGAGGCAGCAGUGGGGAAUAUUGGGCAAUGGGCGAAAGCCUGACCCAGCGACGCCGCGUGAGGGAAGAAGGUCUUCGGAUUGUAAACCUUUGUCAACAGGGACGAAGAAAUGACGGUACCUGUGAAGGAAGCCACGGCUAACUACGUG